rnacentral:rRNA from 1 species
CCUACGGGAGUCUGCAGUGGGGAAUAUUGGGCAAUGGACGCAAGUCUGACCCAGCAACGCCGCGUGAAGGAAGAAGGCUUUCGGGUUGUAAACUUCUUUUAAGGGGGAAGAGCAGAAGACGGUACCCCUUGAAUAAGCCACGGCUAACUACGUGCCAGCAGCCGCGGUAAUACGUAGGUGGCAAGCGUUGUCCGGAUUUACUGGGUGUAAAGCGCUCGUAGGCGGUAUGUCAAGUCAAGGGUGAAAUCCCCGCGCUCAACGUGGGAACUGCCUUUGAAACUGGCAAACUGGAGUGUGUGAGAGGAUAGUGGAAUUCCAGGUGUAGGAGUGAAAUCCGUAGAUAUCUGGAGGAACAUCAGUGGCGAAGGCGACUAUCUGGCACAUAACUGACGCUGAGGAGCGAAAGCGUGGGUAACAAACAGGAUUAGAUACCCGAGUAGUC